AACGCACCUUGCGCUCCUUGGUAUUCCGAGGAGCAUGCCUGUUCGAGUGUCAUGAAACUCUCAAACCGUCAUCUUUUAUUGGAUGUUCGGGCUUGGAUUUGGAUGUUGCUGGGUCUUAAUGACUCGGCUCGUCUUAAAAGCAUUAGCUGUCUCUCACGACUUCAGUUAACGGUGUGAUAAUUACAUCUACGCCGAAGCCUUCGGGCGCUGAGUCGGGUUAAAGCGGCUUCUAACCGUCUUCGGACAAUUUCAUUUCACAUCUGGCCUCGAAUCAGGUAGGACUACCCGCUGAACUUAAG
rnacentral:misc_RNA from 1 species